rnacentral:ribozyme from 14 species
UUCAAUUGACUUGUUUCUCCGAUUCAUUUUUUCUUUUUUUUCUUGUUCUUCCCCAAAGUAACUAUAAUAAAAAUUGU